rnacentral:rRNA from 1 species
AUUGAACGCUGGCGGCAGGCCUAACACAUGCAAGUCGAACGAGUGGCGGACGGGUGAGUAAUGUCUGGGAAUCUGCCUGAUGGAGGGGGAUCAUUACUGGCAACGGUAGCUAAUACCGCAUACCAUCGGAUGUGCCCACAGGGGAUUAGCUAGUAGGUGGGGUAAAGGCUAACCUAGGCGACGAUCCCCAGCUGGUCUGAGAGGAUGACCAGCCACACUGAGACGGGGACACGGUCCAGAGACCUACGGGAGGCAGCAGUGGGGAAUAGUGGACAAAGGGCGCAAGCCUGAUGCAGCCAUGCCGCGUGUAUGAAGAAGGCCUUCGGGUUGGAAAGUACUUUCAGCGGGGGGGCGUUACCCGCAGAAGAAGCACCGGCUAACUCCGUGCCAGCAGCCGCGGUAAUAC